GCAGUGGUGGUUCAAUGGUAGAAUUCUCACCUUCCACGUGGGAGACCCAGGAUUCAAGUCCCAGCCAAUGCA
rnacentral:tRNA from 1 species